UCCUUUUCUUUUUUUCAAACUCCAAUCUGUUUGCACCUUCUCUCUUUCCCCCACACCCCCCCUCCUUCCCCGCUGCCAUCCCUUAGGCCUUCUGGGGAAAGAAAGAAACAGCCUCUCUGUUUUUAAUCAACCUAAUUAGUGUAUCUUUAAUACAAUUAGAGGGAAAUUUUACCGCUCCCCCCCCCCCUUCCCCGUGUAUCAAUUAAAGGCCCACAGUUGCAGGGUAAAUUUCUAAUCCAUUUAGGACCGUCCUCCCCAACCCCCCCCCCCACCCUCCACACUCUUCUCCUCCUCCUGCCUGGCAGAGUGUUGCUUCCUCCUUCGUUUUCUUUAGGAGCCUGUUCAAACAGCACAUUGUAAGGAGUAAAUAAAUUACUCUCUGCCCCUGUGCCCUCUCCCGAGCGGCAGCCGGCCCUGUUCCAGGCAGCUGCCCUGAUUGUGCGUGCAGGAGCUGGGGGGGGAAGGGGCAGGCACAAAGCUGGGUCUGCAGGCUGAGGUUGAUGGGGAGGGGGCCACUAUGUUCAUCCCUCCUUUCUUCUAUUCUUCACUGCUGCUGUCCCUUCUUCUGCAUCUUUUUUGCUUUUAUCUCUAAAUAUGUAAAUAGACAAUAAUGUCAAGGGGGGAGUGUUGGGGUGGUUCUCUCUGUUGGUUGUUUUGUUGUUGUUAUUUUUGUGGUUUAUUCCUGCAGAGAUCCGAGUGGGUUUUUCUCUCCUCGGUGGUCUCAUGGGGUGGCAAUGGGUCAUGUUGCAGCUCCUCCUGUGCUGGGAUUUUGUAAGGGGCUGCAUGCGCCCUGCUACCUCCCCAUGUACUGCCUUGCACUGUCACCUUGGGAUUGCCCAAAGCAGGAGGAAGCAGCCCUGCCCCAUGCCCAGGCUCUGCAGGGAAGGAACUUCAGCAUGCUCAAACCUUCCUGAUGCUCCAUACAAGCAACUUGGACAGCACAAGCAUAGGCAGACUGCUGCUGGGUGUGCAGAACACAGCGGUGCUGUGGCAUCCUCACGGCAGGCAGUUGACACUUCCCCUCAUCAUACCUCUCCCAGCUGGCCCCAAACUACAAGGUCCUGCCUUUAUGGAUCACUGAAUCCCUGUGCUUUCUUAAUGAACCUGCGUUUAAUGCUUGACUUCUCCGUGUCAUGUUUAAUUACAGCAGCUGUAACUUC